AUUGAACGCUGGCGGCAGGCCUAACACAUGCAAGUCGAGCGGAUGACGGGAGCUUGCUCCUUGAUUCAGCGGCGGACGGGUGAGUAAUGCCUAGGAAUCUGCCUGGUAGUGGGGGACAACGUUUCGAAAGGAACGCUAAUACCGCAUACGUCCUACGGGAGAAAGCAGGGGACCUUCGGGCCUUGCACUAUCAGAUGAGCCUAGGUCGGAUUAGCUAGUUGGUGAGGUAAUGGCUCACCAAGGCGACGAUCCGUAACUGGUCUGAGAGGAUGAUCAGUCACACUGGAACUGAGACACGGUCCAGACUCCUACGGGAGGCAGCAGUGGGGAAUAUUGGACAAUGGGCGAAAGCCUGAUCCAGCCAUGCCGCGUGUGUGAAGAAGGUCUUCGGAUUGUAAAGCACUUUAAGUUGGGAGGAAGGGCAGUAAGCUAAUACCUUGCUGUUUUGACGUUACCGACAGAAUAAGCACCGGCUAACUCUGUGCCAGCCGCCGCCGUAA
rnacentral:rRNA from 1 species